AUCAUUGAACGCUGGCGGAAUGCUUUACACAUGCAAGUCGAACGGCAGCACGGGUGCUUGCACCUGGUGGCGAGUGGCGAACGGGUGAGUAAUGCGUCGGAACGUACCGAGUAAUGGGGGAUAACGCAGCGAAAGUUGUGCUAAUACCGCAUACGCCCUGAGGGGGAAAGUGGGGGACCGCAAGGCCUCACGUUAUUCGAGCGGCCGACGUCUGAUUAGCUAGUUGGUGGGGUAAAGGCCUACCAAGGCGACGAUCAGUAGCGGGUCUGAGAGGAUGAUCCGCCACACUGGGACUGAGGCACGGCCCAGACUCCUACGGGAGGCAGCAGUGGGGAAUUUUGGACAAUGGGGGCAACCCUGAUCCAGCCAUUCCGCGUGAGUGAAGAAGGCCUUCGGGUUGUAAAGCUCUUUCAGCUGGAACGAAACGGUACGCGCUAACAUCGUGUGCUAAUGACGGUACCGGCAGAAGAAGCACCGGCUAACUACGUGCCAGCAGCCGUGGUAAUACGUAGGGUGCGAGCGUUAAUCGGAAUUACUGGGCGUAAAGCGUGCGCAGGCGGAUUGUUAAGCAAGACGUGAAAUCCCCGGGCUUAACCUGGGAAUGGCGUUUUGAACUGGCAGUCUAGAGUGCGUCAGAGGGGGGUGGAAUUCCACGUGUAGCAGUGAAAUGCGUAGAGAUGUGGAGGAACACCGAUGGCGAAGGCAGCCCCCUGGGAUGACACUGACGCUCAUGUACGAAAGCGUGGGUAGCAAACAGGAUUAGAUACCCUGGUA
rnacentral:rRNA from 1 species